AGGGCGCGUAGCUCAGUCGGACAGAGCGUCGGACUUCUAAUCCGAUGGUCGCGGGUUCGAAUCCCGUCGCGCUCUU
rnacentral:tRNA from 1 species